CUCUCGUUUUACAAAGGUCGUCGCCAAUCGAAUCGUUCUCUUCAUCCAAUCCCUUCGUUUCGAAAGCUAUCAAUCCUCAAACUGGGGUUUUCCACUUUGCGUUGCGGCUUCGGGGAAUAAUCAGAGGGAAGAAAUGAGCCACGGCGACGGGAAGGGCGACCGGGAUCUGCGGCAGGGGAAGGCAGGCGGAGGCACCGAAUGGGGGAUGCUUCUCUUCGGAUUAUUUGGUACCACGUUCUCGGUUUAUCGGCUGUGGAGGACUAUUAAUUUGUUCUACACUCAGGUCAACAGAUCACAAUCAAGUUCGUCAUGGUGGAAGACAACUAAUAAUUCAAAUUUUGGAGGUUUUAGGGAUUCAGCUUGGAGAAGAUACAAUCGUAGAAUGGAGAAGGAAUAUGAGAAGGAAAAGGAGAGAGUGGAGCGUAUUAGGCGCAUGCAAAAUAUAUUUUAUAGAGAGAGAGAUAAAUAUAAGAGGAGCUAUGAGAAUUGGAGGCACAGUGGUGAUGGUGCACAUGAAUAUACUCGACAUGAUUAUUGGAAUCAUAAGACCGAUACAGAUACAUCUUAUGGAUAUCAAAGGACUCAUUACAAAAUCAGUUCUAGCCACAGUGGAAACAAUUCAAUGUCACACCAUUACUCAGUCUUGGGCCUUGACUGGUCUAGACCAGAACCAUAUUCGGAUGCUGAGAUUAAGGAUGCUUUGAUCAGGAUGAGACAAUUAAAGCAGGAACAUCAUGUUGUGCCGGAGGAACAUGUCAGAAGAUUGGACGUCGGGCCGGUGGAUCGGUCGACGUAUCGACAGAAGGCUUCGGGCCGUGGACUCGGGCAUCGGGCCAAGAAGAGCGGGUAUUGUGCCAAGGAUAUCGGAGUUGCAGAGUCAACAGGCCGAUUGGGCAAUAGGCUGCAGGAAAGGACGAUGCGCCGAAGAAUCGGACGAAGCGUCGAGGGACCAAUGACAUGCCGGACAACUUGGUUAAUUGCUUAGGAUUAAUUGUCUCGAUCGAAGUUUUGCUUUAAUUGUGCAGGAUUAACUAUGAUAACGAUGAAGACAUAAAGCGAAACAAAGUGUCGGAGUCAAGCGCGAAGGAUUUGUUGCGAGUUCGAGAGUUCGACGGAAGUCUGAAGGUUCGUUGGGAGUUCGCGCAGCUCGCCAAGAAAGAUCGGAGCUUGCCGAAGAAGCUCGUUGGAACUCGCUAAGAUCACAUCGUGAAGUCUAGGAGCUUGCCAGGAGUCCGCAGAAUGGUUUUCGAGAGUUCAUCGGAAGACCGCCGGAAGUUUGCCGAAAGCUCGCUAGAAGAAGUCUUGACUUGCGGACUUUGUAAUAGCUUAGAAAAUGUCUUUAAAAUCAUAGUUAGCACAUUAAUUAGGGUUAGGAUUAGGUGUUAAUCCUAUAACCCAAGUAGGGGCCAAUUAGGCCCAAGUUCGGACUGGUUUGGACCAAGUUUGGAGCCAAACCAAGUGAGCUGAAAUAGUGAAAGAGGUGCAACUGCCCAGGCCAGGAGGUGCAACCGCCUGGGCUCAGUCUCCGAGCGAGACUGGGCGGUGCAACCUCUCCUGACAAGAGGUGGCACCGCCUGAGCUCAAGUUUCGAGCUCUGCCAGGCGGUGCAACCGCCCCAGUCAGGAGGUGCAACCGCCUGAGCUCAGUCUUCGAGCUCUGGCAGAGAGGUGCAACCGCCCCUGACAGAGGUAGCACCGCCCAGAGGCUCAGUCUUCGAGCUCUGCCAGGCGGUGCAACCUCUCCAGUCAGGAGGUGCAACCGCCUGAUCCCGGAAUUCCGGGAUUUGAUCGUUUUGAGCUCCAAAUUUGAAUUGGGUUGGGGCCUAUAAAUACCCCACCCAUUCAGCACUGAAAAAGCAAGAACUUAAGCCGAAAUCUUGAUCUUUUCAGUGGUUCUUAGAGCUCAAAACUACUAGUUUUCCUCCUUCUGUUCUUCAAGUUUGAGUUGUAAAGAGAGGAGAGAAAACAUUUGUAAGGGUUGUCUCCUAAGCCCAUCAAAAGGAGUGAAUCUGUAAGAGGGUAGUUGGCCUUCGCCUAUUGAAGGAAGGCUUCUAGUUGACGUCGGUGACCUCAUCGGUGGAGGAAGCCAAAAGUGGAGUAGGUCAAGACUGACCGAACCACUCUAAAUCUCUGGUUUGCGUUUAUUUUGAGCACUUUAUCAUUACUGCAAACCUCCUACUUAGCCUCUGCUCUCUGCGCUUUUACGAACGAAUUCUGUGCAGUUUACGUUUACGUCUUGAUUUCAUUUACAACUGCAAACUGUCUUCUGCGCUUUUAUGAACAAGGUUCUGUGCAGUUUACGUUUACGUCUUGAUUUCAUUUACAACUGCAAACUGUCUUCUGCGCUUUUACGAACAAGGUUCUGUGCAGUUUACGUUUACGUCUUGAUUUCAUUUACAACUGCAAACUGUCUUCUGCGUUUUCACGAACAAGGUUCUGUGCAGUUUUCGUUUACGUCUUGAUCCCAUUUAGACGCAAACUGCGUUUAGACGUAAAUCUGCGUUUAGACGUAAAAUUGCGUUUAGACGUAAAAUUGCUCAAACUGUGUUUAGACGUUUUAGACGUAAACUGAGUUUAGACGUAAAUCUGCGUUUAGACGUAAAACUGCGUUUAGACGUAAAUCUGCGUUUAGACGUAAAACUGCGUUUAGAUGUAAAUCUGUGUUUAGACGCAAACUGCGCUUAGACGCAAACUGCGCUUAGAUGCAAACUGUGUUUAGACGCAAACUGCGCUUAGACGCAAACUGCGCUUAGACGCAAACUGUGUUUAGACGCAAACUGCGCUUAGACGCAAUCUGCGCUUAGACGCAAACUGCACUUAGAUACAAACUGAGAAUUAGCUUUUGCAUCAUAAUAGUUUUUAUCGAACGAACGCAGCUUUCGUUUUUAAUCGCUGUAAGAUUUCCGCUGCACUAAUUCACCCCCCCCCUCUUAGUGCUCUCGAUCCUAACAUGAAUAACCAAUAGUGUGUAGAUGUGGAUACUGUAUUCAUGCGUGGAGAUCAACUGAAGACAAUAUGAACUUAAGCUGUUCUGUUUCGCACUUUCACGAUGCAACAUUUGUUUAACUUUGUCCCAAAAUUUGUGAAAAAUUACCAUUCUAAUUUCACCACCCUACUUUUUGACCAAUAACACCUGUGAUAAUGACAACCAUUAAAUAGCUAGUUUAAAGGCAUCAGAUACUGCAUAGCUAGUCUAAAACUGUAUACUAAUGAUCCUUUGCCUGGCACAGUCCUGUCGGUACUAGGUAGUUUUGCAGUUGUUGUCUAGUUAAAAAAGCUGUAUGUCUUGUAUUAUCGGUGCGUCUAAUUCAGAUUGUAUGGUCACAUGAUAAUGAUUAUGCCAUACUAUCCAAGCACCAUAUUAUGUUUCUUCUCUGUUUGUUGCAGAGCGCUUUCAGAGCAAAAGCAAUAAAGUACCACCCUGAUCAAAACCAAGAUAUUAGAGAAGCUGCUGAGGCGAAGUUUAAAGAACUGAUGACGUCCUACGAAGCUAUAAAGACGGAGAGGCAAAAUGGGAGUCCAAAGUGAGGUGCAAU